CUUAGGACCGUUAUAGUUACGGCCGCCGUUUACUGGGGCUUCGGUUCAAAGCUUCGCUUGCGCUAACCUCUCCCCUUAACCUUCCAGCACCGGGCAGGUGUCAGCCCCUAUACUUCGCCUUGCGGCUUCGCAGAGACCUGUGUUUUUGCUAAACAGUCGCCUGGGCCUAUUCACUGCGGCUUUUCUGGGCUAUUCACCCUAAAAAGCACCCCUUCUCCCGAAGUUACGGGGUCAUUUUGCCGAGUUCCUUAACGAGAGUUCUCUCGCACACCUUAGGAUUCUCUCCUCGCCUACCUGUGUCGGUU
rnacentral:rRNA from 1 species